GAUGGACGCUGGCGGCGUGCCUAAUACAUGCCAGUCGAGCGAACAGACGAGGAGCUUGAUCCUCUGACGUUAGCGGCGGACGGGUGAGUAACACGUGGAUAACCUACCUAUCAGACUGGGAUAACUUCGGGAAACCGGCGCUAAUACCGGAUAAUAUAUUGAACCGCAUGGUUCAAUAGUGAAAGACGGUUUUGCUGUCACUUAUCGAUGGAUCCGCGCAGCGUUAGCUUGUUGGUAGGGUAACGGCUUACCAAGGCAACGAUGCGUAGCCGACGUGAGAGGGGGUACGCCCACAGUGAAAGUGAGAGACGAUCCAGACACCGAGGGGAGGCACCAGUAGGGAAGCUUCCGAAAUGGGCGAAAGCUUGACGAAGGAACGCAGGGUGGGUGAUGAGGGGCUGCGUGGGGUAAAACUGUGUUAGGGGGGAAGAACAAAUGUGUAAGGAACGAUGCGCGACUGAAGGGUACCGAAGCAGAAGGCCACGCUAAACAAGUU
rnacentral:rRNA from 1 species